rnacentral:rRNA from 1 species
UAGGGAAUCUUCGGCAAUGGGGGCAACCCUGACCGAGCAACGCCGCGUGAGUGAAGAAGGUUUUCGGAUCGUAAAGCUCUGUUGUAAGAGAAGAACGUGUGUGAGAGUGGAAAGUUCACACAGUGACGGUAACUUACCAGAAAGGGACGGCUAACUACGUGCCAGCAGCCGCGGUAAUACGUAGGUCCCGAGCGUUGUCCGGAUUUAUUGGGCGUAAAGCGAGCGCAGGCGGUUUAAUAAGUCUGAAGUUAAAGGCAGUGGCUUAACACUUGUUCGCUUUGGAAACUGUUGAGCUUGAGUGCAGAAGGGGAGAGUGGAAUUCCAUGUGUAGCGGUGAAAUGCGUAGAUAUAUGGAGGAACACCGGUGGCGAAAGCGGCUCUCUGGUCUGUAACUGACGCUGAGGCUCGAAAGCGUGGGGAGCAAACAGG